rnacentral:tRNA from 1 species
GCAACAAUGCCCGAGUGGUUAGGGAGUUUGACUAGAAAUCAAAUGGGCUCUGCCCGCGCAGGUUCGUAUCCUGUUCGCUGAG